GAAGGUCACGGCGAGACGAGCCGUUUAUCAUUACGAUAGGUGUCAAGUGGAAGUGCAGUGAUGUAUGCAGCUGAGGCAUCCUAACAGACCGGUAGACUUGAACCUUGUUCCUACAUGACCCGAUCAAUUCGAUCGGGCACUCGCCAUCUAUUUUCAUUGUUCAACUCUUUAACAACACGAAAAACCAUUGUUCAACUCUUUGACAACAUGAAAAACCAAAAGCUCUGCCCUCCCUCUCUAUCUAUCCAAGGGAUGGAAGGGCAG
rnacentral:rRNA from 1 species